GAAAUCAAGCUCUAAAUCCAGGACAGAGGACAUCUUUGCUCUCUCCUCACGUCCCACGGCAAUGGGAGACUCUUUUGUGGGCUGCCCCAAUGCCCUGCAGCCGCAGUCAUUGCUACCAGAGCCAGCUGUGCCUCAGAGGUGCCAGGCCUACACAGGCCCAAGCAGUCAGCUACGCACUCUGUCCAGGCUCAGAGGCUCAGUGCUCCUUGGGUUCCUGAUGUCCCCUGACGUCACCGGUCCUUCACUGAACCUGGAGCUCACUGACUGGCAGAUUAGUUGGCCAGUAAGUUCCCACCGUAAGCAGUAAGUGUCUGCUUACAUCUACAACCCCCACCAGGGUUACAGAUGCCCUGGCCUUUCUGUGUGUGCUAGGGACCCAAACGCAGAGCCUCAUGCUUGCUCCGUGAGUUUAAUGCACACGUUGACCAAUGCUAAAGGGCGGUGGAGCUAAGCAGAAUCGGCCAGGAAGGCUUCCAGGGUGGAGACUGGGGAGUGAGAGGAGAACCAGGAGACACGUGAAAGCCAUGUGAGUAGGGAUGCCCAUUUGAGACAAGAGGCCCCUCAUCCCAGCGCCCUGAGCACCACUUGGUUGGGAUGGUGGGGGUGAGAGCUAACCCUGCUACUCCUUAUAGUUCUGGUGAGGGUCUUGACAUCUCGCUGAUCCCAUGAGCAGAAACACAAACUUCCAACAAGACUAUCAGGACCCAGAAGAAGCACCACAGAGGGUACAAUGGCCCCAGUGAUUCAAGAUGGCAUCCGUCAGGCCUUGUAUGUGACUCCAGUGCCCGAGUGACCGGUGGGAGGGGUAAAGGUCCCUAGGACGGAAGACUUCGAGACUCACUGACCACACCUUGCAUUGGCAGUGAUGUAACCAUCUGCUGUUACAAUGGCAGUGACAGUAUGCCAAGUUACUCCUCAAAAAGGCAUGGCCCUCACCUUGCUGCCUCAGAAGACCACCACUGAAGCAAAUCACUUGUGAUACUCAGUCAAAGCGGACACUCCACCUCCUGGGGCUUUCAGUUUGGUGGCAGGAAGCGGGAAGGGUGCAGCCUUCAAGAUAGAUUUCCUGUAGUAUUCAAAGUCUGUCCAACAAAUCCUCGGUGUGAGCCAGCGAUCCAACAGAUCCACAGUAUGGUAUUUGGUGUGUGAAGACUUAUGGAGAUCACCUCUGCUGAUUUUCACGGACAGCCUCCCACUGUGGCCUGUGGGUCACAUCAGAUCAUGUCUCCGUCUGGACUGGCUGUGUAACGCGGACCUGGCUGCUUAUCUGUCUUACUACCUCCGUCCCGUGCCUACAGAGCUGGACCUCUGGUGAGGACGGGGUCUUGAUGCUGCUGGUCUGCGCCAUUGGUACCCGCCUGGCUCUGGAAGGGACUUCAGGAGAUCAAGGAGGCAAUGUGCUGCGUGUGCACUUCUGUGUGGGAGGGUAGCCAAAGCCUAUGUGCGCCAGUGUUUUCAAGCUGUGGUAAAUAUUAACAGGGCAGUGGGAGCCAGGCCCUCUGGGAGGCCUAGGCUCCCCAGUGGGGAGGAAAGGAGAUAAAGCUGUGUACCUUAGAUAGGGCUUCCAACCCGGCCUCCGAAGCUGCAGCACCCAGCCUGCCGGGGACAUACAGGGAGGACUUCUGUUCCCAGAACCAAGAUGCCUCGCCUUGCCGGGAGAUUCUCAGAACUCCCAGACCGCAGAAGCACCGCUCGCCUUUGUGUUUCCCGUGCCUCACCCCGCUUCUCCAAGCUCCGCCUCAUGGCCCACAGUCUGCACCUCCUGUCUCACUCUCCUCUGGGCACAGUUCAUCUGAACUUGAGGGCGCAGGAAACAGAUUCCAUUCAGAUAAUUUAAAAAAAUCCUCCCACCAGGGUUGGGAGAUGUACCUCAGAUGGUAGUGUGCGUGUCUAGCACGCAGUUUGCUCUCAAGUACUUCAGAGGCUGGCGUGGUGGUGCAUGUCCAUGAUCCUGGCAUUUGGGAGGUAGGGGCAGGAGGACCAGAAGUUCAAGGGAAUCCUCUGUUACAUAGUCAGUCUGAGGCUAGCCUGGGCUACACGAGCCAAACAAAUAAACAAACAUCCCACAAAGUAAA